CCCUCCCAUCUAUGGCCCUGGACUUGACCAGACGCUCGCGGGGACUCCCUCUGGGUGCAGGUGCUGGCUCGGGAGAGCAGCAGUGGGCCCCCUGGUCCCCUCCGUCUCUCACGGACAGCGAGGCUGAGGCCUCAUUCCCCGAGAAACAAGCACAUCUCCCCUCAUGGAGCCACCAUCGGUGCCAAGAUGGCUGCUCCCCCCAGAAGGGUGACAGGCACUGCCUCCUCCUGAGACAAGGCAGUGCUGAGAGCCCUGAGCUGCAGGCAGACACCCACACAGCACAUCUGUGUGAGGGCAGGGGACUGGCCCGGUCAGUUUCCCAGCUCCGACCUUGCUUGCAUGAAUCUGUAGUGUUGGUGCCCAGCCCAGAUCCUCUCCUCUGAAGAACACCUCCGUCCUCCACUGCCCUGACAGAGGACCCUCCCCGCUGCCUCCUGUCGGACGGGCCUUCUCUCCACCUCGCCUGCAACUCCUGUGCUCAGCACAGACGGGCAGCCCUGAGGCGGGCCGCGGCCUGGGCCCCGGCUGGGCUCCGAGGCCCUGCAGACGCAGCCGCCUGGAGAAAGAAGGCUCGCAUGUGCAGAGGCUGACGGGCACGUGGAGGCUCAACCACGAUUCUAAAAGAUGGAGAGAGGCCCGGGCCCAUUGCAUUCACUUUGCAAAGGCCAAGGGCAAAACUGAGUCAGAUACUGAGGUUAAUGAGCAAAUACUAGUAAGCUUUGCUGAGUGCAGGGCGAGCUCAA